rnacentral:rRNA from 1 species
GAUGAACGCUGGCGGCGUGCCUAAUACAUGCAAGUCGAGCGAACGGACGAGAAGCUUGCUUCUCUGAUGUUAGCGGCGGACGGGUGAGUAACACGUGGAUAACCUACCUAUAAGACUGGGAUAACUUCGGGAAACCGGAGCUAAUACCGGAUAAUAUUUUGAACCGCAUGGUUCAAAAGUGAAAGACGGUCUUGCUGUCACUUAUAGAUGGAUCCGCGCUGCAUUAGCUAGUUGGUAAGGUAACGGCUUACCAAGGCAACGAUGCAUAGCCGACCUGAGAGGGGGAUCGGCCACACUGGAACGGAGACACGGUCCAGACUCCUACGGGAGGCAGCAGUAGGGAAUCUUCCGCAAUGGGCGAAAGCCUGACGGAACAACGCCGCGUGAGUGAUGAAGGUCUUCGGAUCGUAAAACUCUGUUAUUAGGGAAGAACAUAUGUGUAAGUAACUGUGCACAUCUUGACGGUACCUAAUCAGAAAGCCACGGCUAACUACGUG